rnacentral:rRNA from 1 species
UACGGAGGAUCCAAGCGUUAUCCGGAAUCAUUGGGUUUAAAGGGUCCGUAGGCGGUUUAGUAAGUCAGUGGUGAAAGCCCAUCGCUCAACGGUGGAACGGCCAUUGAUACUGCUAGACUUGAAUUAUUAGGAAGUAACUAGAAUAUGUAGUGUAGCGGUGAAAUGCUUAGAGAUUACAUGGAAUACCAAUUGCGAAGGCAGGUUACUACUAAAUGGAUUGACGCUGAUGGACGAAAGCGUGGGUAGCGAACAGG